AGGGGGAGUCAGAAGUAGGAGGCAAUAACCUCAUCAUGAUCAAACACUGAGGGCAGGAGGAGAAGGGGAUAACAGAAGAUGAGAUGGUUGGAUGGCAUCACCAAUUAGAUGGACAUGAAUUUGAGCGAGCUCUAGGAGUUGGUGAUGCACAGGGAAGCCUGGCCUGCUGCAGCCCAUGGUGUCGUAAAGAGUUGGACACGACUGAGCGACUGAAUUGAACUGAACCUCAUCUUGAUGUAGUGAGUCUCUCCUUUCUGAAACACCAAGAAGCAUCCCACUCCCUCCAGAAUGGAAAUGGCCCAACCUGUGUAGUUGUUUCCUCCACAACUGUUCUCCAUCCUGAGUUUCAACCCUCUCUCUCUCAACCAAGGGCAGCCACACUAAGCUAUUCUCUUUUGCUAGAAUUUGUCCUACUUUUCCCCCACAUCUCUGUUUUUGCUCAAGCUGUUCCUCCUUCCUGGGAGGUCCUCCCUCCCUCCCUCCUUCCAUCCCCCUCCCCACCUUUUCUGUCCUUUAAGAUGCUUUGACUUAGGCCCCUCUAGAUCAGACACAAGUGUCAUCUCCUGCCGAAUACAAGGAAUAGAUGAAAUAAGUCCUGGUGGGUCGCCGGAGACUAGGGUUCUAGCACACUCCCCACCCUCAAACACACACUAAUUUGUCCUGUUCUAGCCUGCAAGUUUCUCCGCCCACCCAUCCGGACUUCAGCCUCUUCUUGCCUAAUGGGGUGUGGGGUGGUUGGUUUUUAUUGCACUACUUACUUCAGAUAAACCAGGAUCCAAAUUAAUCCUGCAAACCAGGACUGAGGCUGCCCUUUUCUGUCUGGUUACUUCCUGAGUGUACCUGAAGUUCUGCAUUCGCCUCGACCUUCCUUUUUCACUGACCCUCUUUCCCUGAACCUUCACCUGGAGACCUAGGCUGGGUGCCCGAGAAAGGGGUCCGACCACCCGCUGGGAGUUUGCGAAGCAAGCAGGGCAAUACGAGUGGGAGAGAGUCAUCCACGCGCCCACAAAAUGCCUCCUGUCUCGGAACCGCUUGCCCAGGCCCCGCGGGCUGCUCCGGGCAGCCGGCUCCAGCCCUUCAGUCCCGCGCGCACAAGCUGCGGCGAAAGAGCGAACCUUGACGCAGUUAGAGACCCACAGC
ensembl:lncRNA